GUGAUAUAUGCUUUCAAGUGUUUUAUAAUGUUGUAAACUUAAAGAACCACAUUGGAAGAACACAUAUUGGAAAUAAACCUUAUAAAUGUGAUGUGUGUGGUAAGGAUUUUAGUCUAAAUAGCGGAUUAAAGUCACACAUGAGAAAGCAUACGAAUGAUAAACCUUAUAAAUGUGAUGUGUGCGGUAAAAGUUUCAAACAAAGAGGCGCCUUAACAACUCAUAUGAUAACACAUACUGGUGAUAAACCUUAUAAAUGUGAUAUUUGCGGUACAGGAUAUAAUCAAAAAGGCAACUUAAAUAUACACAUGAAGAAACAUACUGAUAUUAAAUGUGGUGUAUGUGGUCUUAUAUUCAUGUCUCAUGAACAUUUACAGAAUCACUUGCCAACACACACACUUGAAAACACAUAUACGUGACUGAAUUCAAAUAUUAAGUUUGUGGACUAAUAUUUAUGACUCAUCAGCAUUUACUUUGAGAACCACUUGACAUCCCACACUUGACAACACGUACCUGACUGAACUCAAAUGUGAUGUAUGUGGUCUUAUAUUCAUGUCUCGUGAACAGUUACAGAACCACAUGACAACACACACUUGACAAAACAUACUUGACUGAACUUAAAAGUGAUGUAUACAUGUGGUCUUAUAUUCAUGUCUCAUCAACAUUUACAGAACCGUGGCAUCACACACACUUGAAAACACAUACCCGACUAAAUUAAAAUGGUAAGUUUGCGGACUAAUAUUCAUGUCUCAUCACCAUUUACAAAACCACGUGACACCACACACUUGCAGAACCACAUGACAACACACACUUGACUGAAUAGACUAAAAUUCCCUGCAUGUGAUCUGGACACAUUGAGCAUGUGAUCUGGACACAUUAAUCAUGUGGUGUUAGUGAUGAGCAGCUGAGACAUCCAAAACCACUCUGUUUUCAUAUGUCAUAUAUGUAUACAUUGAAAUACUUAUCCUAUCAUAUAUUUUUAACAAC
rnacentral:lncRNA from 1 species